GAUGAACGCUGGCGGCGUGCCUAAUACAUGCAAGUCGAGCGGACAGAUGAUGAGCUUGCGCCUCGGACGGUAGCGGCUGGCGGGUGAGUAACACGUGGAUCACCUCCCUAUAUUUCGUGGAUAACUUCGGGAAACCGGAACUAAUACCGUAUAAAAUAUUGAACCGCGUUGGUGAAUGGUAAAAUACGGUUGUGCGGGCACUGAUAGCGGUAUCCGCGCCGCAUUAGCUAGUUGUUAAGGUAAAGGCGUACGAAGGGAACUAGGCGUAACCGAACUGAGAGGGUGAUCGGCCACACUGGAACUGAGACACGUUCCAGACUCCUAAGGGAGGCAGCAGUCGGGAAUAUUCGGCAAUGGGCGAAAGCCUGACGCAGCAAGGCCGCGUGAGUGAUGAAGGCCUUCGGUUCGUAAAGCCCUGUUAUUAGGGAAGAACAACUGUGUAAUUAAAUAUGGCCGUAUUGACGGUACCUAAUCAGAAAGCCCCGGCUAACUACGUG
rnacentral:rRNA from 1 species